rnacentral:rRNA from 1 species
GAUGAACGCUGGCGGCGUGCCUAAUACAUGCAAGUCGAGCGAACAGACGAGGAGCUUGCUCCUUUGACGUUAGCGGCGGACGGGUGAGUAACACGUAGGUAACCUACCUAUAAGACUGGGAUAACUUCGGGAAACCGGAGCUAAUACCGGAUAAUAUUUCGAACCGCAUGGUUCGAUAGUGAAAGAUGGCUUUGCUAUCACUUAUAGAUGGACCUGCGCCGUAUUAGCUAGUUGGUAAGGUAACGGCUUACCAAGGCAACGAUACGUAGCCGACCUGAGAGGGUGAUCGGCCACACUGGAACUGAGACACGGUCCAGACUCCUACGGGAGGCAGCAGUAGGGAAUCUUCCGCAAUGGGCGAAAGCCUGACGGAGCAACGCCGCGUGAGUGAUGAAGGGCUUCGGAUCGUAAAACUCGGUUAUUAGGGAAGAACAAACGUGUAAGUAACUGUGCACGUCUUGACGGUACCUAAGCAGAAAGCCACGGCUAACUACGUGC